UAGGGAAUCUUGCGCAAUGGGCGAAAGCCUGACGCAGCAACGCCGCGUGCGGGAAGAAGGCUCUCGGGUUGUAAACCGCUUUCAGUAGGAACGAAUUUGACGGUACCUGCAGAAGAAGGUGCGGCCAACUACGUGCCAGCAGCCGCGGUGACACGUAGGCACCAAGCGUUGUCCGGAUUUAUUGGGCGUAAAGAGCUCGUAGGCGGUUCAGUAAGUCGGGUGUGAAAACUCAAGGCUCAACCUUGAGCGGCCACCCGAUACUGCUGUGACUUGAGUCCGGUAGGGGAGUGGGGAAUUCCUGGUGUAGCGGUGAAAUGCGCAGAUAUCAGGAGGAACACCGGUGGCGAAGGCGCCACUCUGGGCCGAGACUGACGCUGAGGAGCGAAAGCGUGGGUAGCAAACAGGAUUAGAUACCCUGGUAGUCCACGCCGUAAACGUUGGGCACUAGGUGUGGGUUCCAACCAACGGAAUCCGUGCCGUCGCUAACGCAUUAAGUGCCCCGCCUGGGGAGUACGGCCGCAAGGC
rnacentral:rRNA from 1 species